CAAGCACAAGACACCAGGGAGCCAGACCCCUGCCGCUCCCCUGCCACAGGAUAUGAAUACGAGCCUCAGCUGGUUGGAGCAGCUGGAUGUGCUUCUCAACGCUACUGAUGGAAAUGUGGUCCGGAAUAAGCAGUGGCUGUAUCCUCUUGGGGUCUCCACAGAGCUCAUUGGCCUGUGCAUCUGUUUCUUCUGUAGCAGUGGCUGUAUCCUCUUGGGGUCUCCACCGCAGAAUAGCACUGCUGUCACUCCUACAGUGCUGUGGGAGGACUCAGAGAUUAUGCAGAAGGAAUUGAAGUUGCUGCAGUACCAGUUGAGCCAGCACCAGGAGCUGCUGCUGAAACAGCUGGCUGAGGGACGACAGGCUCAGGUUGGCAGUUGGAAGGAUCUCCAUUCAUGUUUUCCAAUCUAAGCUGCCUCUGCCCACUACCUUCACCAUGUCUGUUUCUUCAUCCAGCUCUUAAUUCAGUCUUCUGGACAGUAACACUAGCUGAGAACUUUUAUGGAAGCCAGAUCCCCAGAGGAGCACCCUUUCUAACCUGGAGCCCAGCAUCUUUCAGCUCCAUGCCCAGAGUCUUAAGCAAGAGGACCUAUUCCUUUGGGGCCCCAAAAUGCUCCUGAAUGACCUGUAAGGACUCGUUAAGAAUAGUAGGAUGAAGGCUUCUUUGCCCACCCUCCCCUCCAAGGCCCUGUUUCUGGGCUGUCUGCCCCUACCUUCUUGAAGUAGCUAUUAUCUGUCUUAUCUACUGAGGCUUUUCACUGCCUGCCCAUCCUUGCCCCCCAACUGCAAUACAAUGGUUUAACCCUCCCUGAUGUGUUUUCUGUGAGUCAGCACCCACAUGGGAUAGAAUCAGCUGUACCUGUUCAUCUUCCUGUUACUUGGAGUGCUUUCUGUGGCGUCUACCCCUGAAAUCCAAGUUCAUAGACAUUUAUAGCUGUAUCUUUUUUUUUUUUUUUUUGAGAUGGAGUCGUGGUCUGUCACCCAAGCUGGAGUGCAGUGGUGCCAUCUCAGCUCACUGCAACCUCUGCCUCCCAGGUUCAAGCAAUUGUCCUGCCUCAGCCUCCCAAGUAGCUGGGAUUACAGGUGUGCGCUAAUUUUUGUAUUUUUAGUAGAGAUGGGGUUUCACCAUGUUGGCCAGUCUGGUCUUGAACCUCUGACCUCAAGUGAUCUGCCCGCCUCGCCCUCCCAAAGUGCUGGGAUUACAGUUGUGAGCCACCAUGCCCAGCCUAUAGCUGUACCUUCUGAGUGCAAGCUCAGUUGAACUUGGAAAGUAAUGGGAGCUCCCAUUCUGGUGAGUAGAAUGAGGUAGGACACUGCUCUAGGGCAGUAGUGCUGGGGGAUGCAAAGGAGGAUGAGAUAUUCUGGUGGGACUUGGAUCUGGACAGUAGGAGGCUACCUUUCCUUAUCUCCAGCUUCUGCCUUUUUUUUUUUUUUUUUUUUUUUUUUGAGGCAAGGUCUUACUCAGUUGCCCAGGCUGGAGUGCAGUGGCAUGAUCUUGGCUCACUGCAGCCUCCGCUUCCUGUACUAAAGCAAUCCUCCCACCUUAGCCCCCCAAGUAAUAAUAUAUGGGACUACAGGCACACGCUAUCAUGCCUGGCUAAUUUUUAAAUAUUUUUUGUAGAGACAGGUUUUCACCAUGUUGCCCAGGCUGGUCUCGAACUCCUGGGCUCAACUGAUCCACCAACUUUGGCCUCCCAAAGUGUUCAGAUUACAGAUGUGAGCUGCUACCAUGCCUACCCCCAGCUUCUGCUGCUUGAGGCUCUCUUUGGCAUCUCCACACAUCAUCCUUAGCAGCCCAGACUGCAUUUCUGUAGCAGCCUCUUCCCUGGUCUCUUCUUUCAGUCUCUCUGCCUCUAAUCCAGUGGCUUUAAGAAUUUUUUGGCUGUGACUUCCAGUAAGAAAUACAAUUUACAUUGUGACCUAGUAAAUAUGUGUGUAGAUUUAUUAACUGAAAUAAAAAUGUUAUGAUUUAAUUUUUA